GGCUUCGGUAGUGAUGGCCCAGACUCUCCUCGCUUUGUCUGUGGCCUGAGAGGUGAACGCAGGUGUGGCGUCUGAUUGGUUAACUUCAGGCAGGUAAGGUUGACACGUUAAGAAUAAGGUUGCUGGGGUAGGCAGGUCAGGUCAGGUCAGGUCAAGAAGAGGUCAGGGAGGUGUUGAUUUUUUUCUCCUUUUGAUCUCUAUUGCUUCGUAGUUCCUCCUCCUAUUGUUCCUCUUCAGCUUAUUCACACACUUUGAAAUGGACAAUGGAGGGUGGGCAGGUCAGGUCAGGUCAAGAAGAGGUCAGGGAGGUGUUGAUUUCUUCUCCUAUUGAUCUCUAUCGCUUCGUAGGCCCUCCUCCUAUUGGUCCUCUGCUUAUUCACACACACUGCUCCUUAAUUACACUAUUCUGCUUAUCUCUCGUGUGGGUAAGGUCACUGUAGGAGGUCAGGUCAAGAAGAGGUCAGGGAGGUGUUGAUUUCUUCUCCUAUUGAUCUCUAUCGCUUCGUAGGCCCUCCUCCUAUUGGUCCUCUGCUUAUUCACACACACUACUCCUUAAUUACACUAUUCUGCCUCUUGUGUGGGUAAGGUUACUGGUAGGAGGUCAGGUCAAGAGGUCAGGGAGGUGUUGAUUUAUCUCCUUUUGAUCUCUAUCGCUUCGUAGGCCCUCCUGCUAUUGGUCCUCUGCUUAUUCACCCACACUGCUCCUUAAUUACACUGUUCUGCUUAUCUCUCGUGUGUGUAAGGUCACUGGUAUGAGGUCAGGUCAAGAUGAGGUCAGGGAGGUGUUGAUUUCUUCUCCUAUUGAUCUCUAUCGCUUCGUAGGCCCUCCUCCUAUUGGUCCUCUGCUUAUUCACACACACUGCUCCUUAAUUACACUGUUCUGCCUCUCGUGUGACCAAGGAAAUC